rnacentral:tRNA from 1 species
GCGCUCGUAGCCCAAUUGGACAGAGCUGCGGACUUCGGAUCCGAUGGUUGGGGGUUCGAGUCCCUCCGAGCGCGCCA